UGGGGAAUAUUGGGCAAUGGGGGAAACCCUGACCCAGCAACGCCGCGUGAAGGAAGAAGGCCUUCGGGUUGUAAACUUCUUUUACCAGGGACGAAGGACGUGACGGUACCUGGAGAAUAAGCAACGGCUAAUUACGUGCCAGCAGCCGCGGUAACACGUAAGUUGCGAGCGUUGUUCGGAAUUAUUGGGCGUAAAGGGUAUGUAGGCGGUUCUGCAAGUCUGGUGUGAAAUGCCGGGGCUCAACCCCGGAACUGCGUUGGAAACUGCAGGACUUGAAUCGCUGAGGGGCAGCCAGAAUUCCAGGUGUAGGGGUGAAAUCUGUAGAUAUCUGGAAGAAUACCAAUGGCGAAGGCAGGCUGCCAGCAGAUGAUUGACGCUGAGGUACGAAGGUGCGGGGAGCAAACAGGAUUAGAUACCCUGGUAGU
rnacentral:rRNA from 1 species